rnacentral:rRNA from 1 species
GAUGAACGCUGACAGAAUGCUUAACACAUGCAAGUCUUUGGCGAAGCUGUGCUUGCACAGCCUAGCCAAGGCGGACGGGUGAGUAACGCGUAAGGAACUUGCCCUGCAGUCAGGGAUAACAGACGGAAACGACUGAUAAGACCUGGUAAAGUCAGGCGGACUCAUGUCCAGCCUGAUGAAAAGAGAUGCUGCAGGAGAGCCUUGCGUCCUAUUAGCUUGUUGGUGGGGUAACGGCCCACCAAGGCGAUGAUAGGUAGCCGGCCUGAGAGGGUGGACGGCCACAAGGGGACUGGGAUACGGACCUUACUCCUACGGGAAGCAGCAGUGGGGAAUAUUGGACAAUGGGGGCAACCCUGAUCCAGCAAUUCUGUGUGCACGAUGAAGGUUUUCGGAUUGUAAAGUGCUUUCAGCAGGGAAGAAAAAAUGACGGUACCUGCAGAAGAAGCGACGGCUAAAUACGUG